GACGAACCGUGCGAACGUUGUUCGGAAUCACUGGGCUUAAAGGGCGCGUAGGCGGGCUGUCAAGUCUGGGGUGAAAUCCCACGGCUCAACCGUGGAACUGCCUCGGAUACUGACGGCCUCGAGGGGGGUAGGGGCGUGCGGAACUGUGGGUGGAGCGGUGAAAUGCGUUGAUAUCCACAGGAACUCCGGUGGCGAAGGCGGCACGCUGGACCUUUUCUGACGCUGAGGCGCGAAAGCCAGGGGAGCAAACGGG
rnacentral:rRNA from 1 species